UCCUUAUUGGUGCAAUGGACCAGGAUUC
rnacentral:piRNA from 1 species